rnacentral:misc_RNA from 1 species
UUUGCAGGCUUUCACAAGUCAGCUCCCCUGAAAUGUAUUAGCGGUACCCUUGUGGUAAACGGCUAUUGGUGUGAUAAUUAUCUACGCCAUUCGGUCGCCCACAUAUUAAAAGGGUUAUGCUGCUUCUAACCAUCCAUUGACUUGGACAAUACAAUGACAAUUUUGGCCUCAAAUCAGGUAGGACUACCCGCUGAACUUAA